AACAACAGACUUACACCAUACCUAAAAUCCCUAAUAGACGUGGAUCAAGUAGGAUUUAUACCAGGGAAGCAACUCUUCGAAAACACACAUAGAAACAUCAACCUCAUAUGGAAGCAAGUGGCCACUAGUAUGCCGACACUGGUUGUCUCUAUAGACGCUGAAAAGGUGUUCGAUAAGGUCAAGUGGUCGUACCUAUUUGCCC